AUCUCUAACUAUCCUAAGUCAGA
rnacentral:misc_RNA from 1 species